GGUAACUUGGUGGCCCAUGGUCAAAUAUUCAGUCUCUGGUAGGCCCCGUAGCAGGCCAAGUGAUGUUUCUCAAAAGUAGAUUAGACAUCUGCAGGUGAUAACAAGACCAUGCUCUAACAUCUUAAAACCCUGUCCUCUGCUUUCCAUAUUGGGACUGCCAAAGGCCCCAAAGAAAAUUUCUAUCUGCCUAUGAAACAUCUAAAAGAUUGAGUCCACCACAAUAUAUGGCCCAAGUGGCAGAGCAGCUUGCACAGCUGUCUGGAAUUGUUGCGGUGCCUUCUCUCAUUCUCUACAGACAAGAAUGCUCCAUCAUGGUAAUACUUGAAUAUCUUUGAAACCAUGCCUCUGGACUGAGUAAUUACUUCCAGAAAUGCUUGAAGCACUGCAUACAGAGGAGGUAUCCAUAUUCAGAGGAAGUGUGUAUCCCAGUAUGGACAAAAAACCACCCCUUCCA
rnacentral:lncRNA from 1 species